AUGAGGUGGAGUGAUCUGGUCCACCCAGUGUGCACUCCCACGAUGGGCAGCCCAACCCACCGAUCUCUCUCUCCCUUAUCCACGAUCUCUCUCUCCCUUAUCCCUCGAUCUCUCUCCCACGUGACUUUGUCUGUCUCCCACGUACCCAUAUCUCUCUCUCUCUCUUACGGGCAGACUGCAAUAGCACGAUUGAGCGGUGCAGGCGAGAAGAGAAAGAGACGCGGACGGUGCGGCACCCGCCGGCGAGCUCUGGUGCCUCCUCCCGCCGACGCCUCCGCACUUCGGCGAGCAGCGCGGUGCGGCCUCCUCCCUCUGACGACUCCUCCAUCCAGCGCCUCCUCACUCCGGCGAGCAGCGUGGGCGACGCGGCACGGGCCGGUGAGCAGCGCGGUCUCCUCCCUCCGGCGCCUCCUCACUCCGGCGAGUAGCGCGGGCGGCGCGGCGCGGGCCGGUGAGCGGCGCGGGCCGAUUACCAGCGCGGCCUCCUCCCUCCGGCGCCUCCUCACUCCGGCAAGCAGCGCGGGCCGGUGA
rnacentral:rRNA from 1 species